UAAGGAAUAUUGGACAAUGGGCGGAAGCCUGAUCCAGCCAUGCCGCGUGAAGGACGAAGGCGCUCAGCGUUGUAAACUUCUUUUGGAUGGGAACAAUAAUCGAGACUUGUCUUGACUUGAGGGUACCAUCAGAAUAAGCACCGGCUAACUCCGUGCCAGCAGCCGCGGUAAUACGGAGGGUGCAAGCGUUAUCCGGAAUCACUGGGUUUAAAGGGUGCGUAGGCGGCCCGAUAAGUCAGUCGUGAAAUCG
rnacentral:rRNA from 1 species